GGACCUUCCAACCCAAACCAGUUUGGGAUUUCAGGAUUCUAUGAAAACUGCUCACCCAUAGCUGCCUGGAGCUCCCACUGGCUCCUCAUCCACCUGUACUCCUGCUUCAGGCUUGCUGGGGCUGCAGCCCCUUUGCAGUGAGCACAGCCACCCAUGUCAGGGCCAGACCCUCUAUCAGCUCUCGUCAUCAUCAAAUUAAUGGGAUGAAGUUAAUUCGAGUCAAAGACGUUUUGAAAUGAUGUUGUCAUCUACAGGAUCAAAAUUAAAACCAAAGCUAAGUGGGGAGAGAAAGAAAA